rnacentral:rRNA from 1 species
UACGAAGGGUGCAAGCGUUAAUCGGAAUUACUGGGCGUAAAGGGUGUGUAGGCGGUCAUGUUAGUCAUUUGUUAAAGCCCGAGGCUCAACCUCGGAAUCGCGGGUGAAACGGCAUGACUAGAGGGUGGAAGAGGUAAGCGGAACUCAUGGUGUAGUGGUGAAAUCCGUUGAGAUCAGGGGGAACACCAAAAGCGAAGGCAGCUUACUGGUGCACUCCUGACGCUGAGACACGAAAGCCAGGGUAGCGAACGGG